rnacentral:rRNA from 1 species
AUACGGAGGGGGCUAGCGUUGUUCGGAAUUACUGGGCGUAAAGCGCACGUAGGCGGAUUAAAAAGUUAGAGGUGAAAUCCCAGGGCUUAACCCUGGAACUGCCUUUAAAACUAGUAGUCUAGAGUUCGAGAGAGGUGAGUGGAAUUCCAAGUGUAGAGGUGAAAUUCGUAGAUAUUUGGAGGAACACCAGUGGCGAAGGCGGCUCACUGGCUCGAUACUGACGCUGAGGUGCGAAAGCGUGGGUAGCGAACAGGAUUAGAAACCCCGGUAGUCC